rnacentral:rRNA from 1 species
AUACGUAGGUGACAAGCGUUAUCCGGAUUUACUGGGUGUAAAGGGCGUGUAGGCGGUUUAGCAAGUCAGAAGUGAAAUUCCCGGGCUUAACUUGGGCGCUGCUUCUGAAACUGCUUUACUUGGGUGCUGGAGAGGAUAGUGGAAUUCCUAGUGUAGCGGUAAAAUGCGCAGAUAUUAGGAGGAACACCGGUGGCGAAGGCGGCUAUCUGGACAGUAACUGACGCUGAGGCGCGAAAGCACGGGGAGCAAACAGGAUUAGAUACCCUGGUAGUCCGUGCCGUAAACGAUGAAUACUAGGUGUAGGGGGUAUCGACUCCCUCUGUGCCGCAGUUAACACAUUAAGUAUUCCACCUGGGGAGUACGGCCGCAAGGUUGAAACUCAAAUGAAUUGACGGGG